ensembl:processed_transcript
GCGUUUGAUGGACACCGGGACAUAUUUCUUCCUCUGUUUUUUCCCUGUUGUUUGUCCGUAUUUUUCUAAACUGCCGUGCGCGGGAAGUGGCGUGACGUCCAAUCACCCACUCACUCCCUCUGCACCUGACUGGAUUAACGGUAAACGUCAGUUUGUCUGUAAGAGUGUAAAAGGUUCUUUCAUUUUGGUUAUAAGUACAUGUUACAGGUAAAUUCUUAGAUUCAAUCCAAACUGAAUUUGAAUUAAUACGGACAAAUGAAAUAAAAUACACCUGGGAUUUUAAAUGUUUUCAUUUUUUUAUUAUUCACAACGUUUGUGAAGUCUAAAUGUAGACUGUCUCAAACUGAAUGAGUGUUAUUUUUGUUGUAGGUGUGUUGGUGUAAAAAUUGAUGCUGACUGGUUAGUACUGCAUUUUUAACCAUAACAAUAAUGAUUUAUAUUUAGCAUUGCAUCUAUUGUCAUUUUACCAAGAAUGUGUUUGCUCUUUCAGAACUCAGGCAGUUGUGCUGGACCCUCUGUACCGUAUACAGGAGAUGACUGUAAACUUUCAAGUUUAAGAGGUGUGUUGGUGUAAAAAGUGAUGCUGACUGAACUCGGCAGUUGUGCUGGACCCUCUGUACCUUAUACAGGAGAUGACGGUAAACUUUGAAGUUUAAGAGGUUCUGUAAUUUUGGUUAUAAGUACAAGGUGUGUUGGUGUAAAAAUUGAUGCUGACUGAACUCAGGCAGUUGUGCUGGACCAUCUGUACCUAAUACAGGGGAUGACAGUAAACUUCCAA